rnacentral:lncRNA from 1 species
UUAACUUUAUGUGGUAAUAUUACACCUGAACUGAGCCUGUCUGUUGGGAAGCACUAGGUUCACUUAAGGAAAGAUGCUUCUAGCUGGAAUUGGAAUGGACAGAAGAGCAGCAGACUAACCUGAGAGAAAAGGGCAAUGACUCUCCUGAAAUUAAACGGCAGCUUAAUGACACAGACACCAUUGUUUCUUCCUUCAUGCGUAUUGAGAGCCCGACUGGAAGUAAUCCAAGCAGCUUCAUUUUUGCCUGAAGUAGCAAAAGAAGUAAGAAAUUGCCUCUUUUAAACUGUAUUUCAAGCUACUAUUGUUUAAGAUUCCUAAGAAAAGUACAGAGGGUAAAGUCAGUUAGUAAAUUAUUUUAAGAAUCUAAGAGAUACAACUAUAAAGAAAACUUUAAAGACACUUCCUUACAGCCUGUCUCAACAUCAUAAAACUACUUAAGCAUUCUGGGUGUAUUAUGUUCUCCUGCACCAGAAUAGCAAGUUGAUGUGUUCAUCAGUUCUCUCCAGAAGACAAUAUUACAUCAGUUCUACCAACUGUUUCUUAUAUCACUUAAGGUAAAAUAUGUAUGCUGAACUACUGUAAGAGACCUUUUAGGAGCUCUUUAGCAAUGGUAGGGUAGGAUUCCUCAUACCCUUUCAUUUUCUUCAUACCUCAUUUAACUACUAUAGUUUUCCCAAAUUCUUCAUCCUUUUUUUCAUCCUUUCUUUGGAAAUAUAUUUGUCCAGUUAACUCAAUAACAAAAGAAAUAUAUUUCCAUUGAUCUCUCUGACUGAGAAAACAGGUUUAUGGUAUUUUAUUGAAGGGUUUUAU